rnacentral:tRNA from 1 species
GCGAGUGUGGCGGAACUGGCAGACGCGCCAGACUUAGGAUCUGGUGGACUUUCCGUGCAGGUUCAAGUCCUGUCACUCGCA